rnacentral:rRNA from 1 species
GACGGAGGAUGCAAGCGUUAUCCGGAAUGAUUGGGCGUAAAGCGUCCGCAGGUGGCAGUUCAAGUCUGCUGUCAAAGACCGGGGCUUAACUUCGGAAAGGCAGUGGAAACUGAACAGCUAGAGUAUGGUAGGGGCAGAGGGAAUUCCUGGUGUAGCGGUGAAAUGCGUAGAGAUCAGGAAGAACAUCGGUGGCGAAGGCGCUCAUCUGGCCCGAUACUGACGCUGAGGCGCGAAAGCUAGGGUAGCGAACGGG